AGCUUGCUGUUUACCUGUGGUAGGUGGAGUUGUAGCUUCCAGCCAAUUUCUAUUGACUUCUCCAAAGAAAAAACCAUAAAGUUGCUUGCAAAUUGCAGUGACUUUUUUAGUAGCUAGUCUUCCACUAAGAGAGAGAUCUCUCAGUUUACCAUUGAUUUCCUAAUUUCCCUCACCAAAUUUCUUAAACCUUUCUCAUGAUCUGUGCUUCCUUUUUGUGAUUGAAUCGAAUCAUCGCGUAUUCUGUUCUUGAUCUGUAUCUUUCUUGCUUGAAAGAUCAGCUUUCCCAGAGUUUCAACAUUGGGGCGCGUCCACACGUUUCCCCACUCAGCAAUUAGCUUCAGAUUCUUUUGUUAAAAUUCUUUUGAAUCCAGGGCCAAAGAAGUCAGCGGUGAAAAUGGCUAGACAGAAGGAUCGAUUUUGGGAACAUGAUGAGAAGCUGGAUGAUGGUCGUUUCAACUGUACGUUUUGUGGCUCUAAAUUUGCUGCUGCUACUAUCAUUUCAAGGAUCAAAUGGCAUUUGUCAGGAGAGGAAGGGCAUGGUGUUGCAGUUUGUGGACAAGUUCCUCAACAAGGUCAAGAAGCAGCUUUUCAAGCUGUUCAUGGUGGCAACAAAAGACAUAAAAGCAUAGCAAGUUCGAGCAAUUUUAAUGAUAAUGCAAUUUUAACCACUCCACAAGAACAAAACAAUGAAGUCGACAAUUUGGCAGGAUAUGCAGGAAGGAUACAAGCACCAGGUACAAUGGGUCAAGCACUUGAAGAUUUUUCGAAGAGAUCAAUAAUGUAAUGGAGGAUGAUAUAGAGAAUGGGACUGGAGGACUAGUGCAGCCGGGUGCAGGAGCUAGCUCUUCUGGAGGGCUUACAGGCAACACAAAUGAGACUCCAGGAGAUCCAUUACCUACUAGCUUACAUGUUGAAGUCGACAAUGUGGCACCGCAAGGGCAACAUCUGGAGAGAGUAACUGGGCAGCCUGUUGUAAGAGGUAGUUCUCAUGAGAGGCCACUUGUUAAUCACGAUGAGCCUCAAGAAGAUCAACUCUGUCCUCCACUAGUGAACAUGGUUGGAGACCCUGGGCAGCCUGUUGUGAGAGAUAGCAUGAAUAGUGUUUUGGUUCUGCCAUAGGGUAUUGAAUUUCCUAUAAUAAUUAGAAUAUAAUAUAUAUAGUUUUAAACCGCAUUUUACUACUCAAGUAAACACCAUUUAACAAUAAUAUAAAUUAUUUGCAAUUAAUAAAAGGGACUGGGUCCAUUUGGUCCAGGGAAAGA